rnacentral:lncRNA from 1 species
AAUUUGUAACGUAGCUUUCUGACGUAGAUUGUUUGCAUUUGUUACGCUAAGAGAAGAAAGUUGUUGACUUAACUGAAGUUUUUCAACUCGAUUAAAUUUCUUCAGUUUAAUUUAUUUAUGUAUUUAAGUUAAAUACUUGUAGGAAUGUAAGUACAAAGAAGCAUAUUGAAUCGAAGAAAAUUAAUCUAUAUUGGUGCAAACGGGCCUUACACAAGAAAAAUUAAACUUAAAUAGAUAAAUAGAUUGAACUGAAGAAAUUUGAUCGAAUUGAAAAAAAAACUUGUCGAGCUAACAACUCUUGUUCUCAUUGUAAUUCCACAAACAAUAGUCUUACGUACCUAUAUUUGCAAGCAUAUGGUCUUUAAAGUUUAAACGAGACCUACAUACGUUUGUCGCGCGUUUACAAGACCUACUUUCGAAAGGUUCCCACAGCGGAGCUUCAUUAUCACGUACGGUCUUCACAUGCGAUUUGCAAGAACUUAGUAUACACAUUGUCCUCGCGUAUAUGCGACGUUCGGACUUGCGGAUUGAAAUCGUUUCACGAUAGCCGCCUUCGCGCUCUCGUAUCACUUGUUACCCGAGACGUGUGUUGGUAAUGAAUGCGGACAAUAUAUGUAAGAUUGUGCAACAUAUAGAAAUUAUCGCCAUAUUCCUUGGGCACAUUCUCUCCGAACACUGGGAAGAAAGUUAUUGUAACUUAAAAACUUCGCAAAUACAACUUAACUUGACUAAAUUCUUGCGGUUCAAGUAUUUAUGUAUUUUUAAAUUUCACACACACAAUAUUUGAAGAAAAUUUAAAGGAUGAUUUUAAAUGAUAAAAAAAGAUUAAAAUUAAGAAUAAUAAAAUUGCAAUUAAAGAUUUGUUUUUCAAUUAUAAAUGUUAAAAUAUUAAAAAAUUGUUUGCUAAAACACGUGAAUAUUUAAACGUUUAUAAUUAAAACGGAGCUUUAAUCGAAUUUUUGUUAUGUCUUUUGUCUUUAUUGUCUAUAACUACUUUUUAAAUUUUCCCUCAUCUGUUGUUGACCAUAUUGUACAUAUACAUACACAUACACACAUACAUAUAUAUAUAUAUAAAAUAUAUAAAAAUACUUGAAUUGAAGGUAGUUUACUUAAUUUAACGGAUUUAGUCAAGUUAACAACUUUUUUCUCAAUGUUGGUAGCAUUUAUUUCAAUAUUUUGCGGUAAGCUGCUUGAGAACGUGACAUUACCUCUAAAUUUAUUAAACACACAGUAAUGCACCAAUACUGCAUGAAAUUUUAAUGAGAAAAAAAAACAUCUGGCGUGUAUCUCGAAGAGCAAAGGUUCGCUACGAUUUGUAGAGCAAAACGCGCGACUCUGAUUGGCAGUUAACUUUUUCCACGGCUAUCUCUAUGCGGAAGAAGAAGCUGAAAAAGAGGGAGGGCCUGUGGUCUUCGAGCCUCCUUAUGUCUUCAUUUCUACUAAUGUAGAUCAACUCUGACCUCGGUUCGUAGCCAAGUCUUUAUCUAUAUCUAGUUUUUCUCCAUUCUCGGGUUGGAGAAAAAUAAGAAAUAAAUGAACCGAGAUCAAAGUUAAUUUCCAUUCCUGAAAAUGGGCAUUAGCAGUUUUCUGAACAGGAGCAAAAAAAAAGGAUCUUAAAGUUGGAAAUGUUACACAUCGCGCUAUCAUUAUUCUAAUAAUCGUUUAAACGGAUGUUUGACGCGUAAAUACAUUUUAAUGCGAUAAAAUUUAAUUAAUUCUGAUAUCGCAAUUAAGAAACGAGAUAAGGUAGAUCUGAAGGUGAUAACACACGAGUAUACUUUCCGACUUUUAGUUCUGUCGAAAUAGAACGUUAGAGCACUGAAAAUCACGUGUGCAGCGAUGCAGCAGCACGUGCCUGCGCUCGCUCUUGGAGUACUUCUAAAUCGGGAAAUUGAUUUUCGAGAUAAUUCAUAUAGUAACGUCAAUCGACGGUAAAUUCUGUGAUUGGAUGAUGCAAGCCGAGACUGAUGAUGCGCAAUCAGUUUUGUUUGGUUAGAAAUCUUCCGUGUUUCCAGAUAAAUCUUUCGUACACACACGUAUGACGCACCUGUCGUGUAUUUCCUUCUCAUUCGCGCGACUUAUCUUACGUCUUUUCGUCUAUAUAUGAUCUAUUUCAUGAUAGCAAAGAUCAAUUAAUGAUUCGCAUCCAAAAAACUUCUUUAUCAAUAACGACUGAAGCAUUCGCCACUUCGAGACGUGUCUUUAUAUCUAACUUGACAAUCUACACCGCUAGAAAAGAUUACUUGAUUCAAAGAAUGUUAUUAAUACAAUUUAAAUAACUUAUCGACAAAUAGAUAUUAUUUGUUCGUAGAAAAUAUUAAGUACUUAUUUGAUAUGAAAGUUUUUUUUUAUUUACUAUACUAAUAAUAUAUUUAUUUGAAUCAAGCAAGAGGAGAAAUUAUUAUAAUUGUUUCAAUUUUUUAAUAUUUUUGUAUGCUCACAUGUCAUCUUUAUGAGAAUUGAACUCUUAAAAAUUGAUUAACUUUUUUUUAUACUCAAAAGAACUUUGACAAUUGUUAUGUUUUUUAUAUCUAGCCAAAUAAGAUGUGUUCUUAAAAAAAGAUUAAAUUAUCUUUGAUAUGUUACAAAAAAUAUUGCUAUUGUUUCGAUUUUAUAUAUAUAUCUCUUGAAAAUCAGUUACAGAUAUAUUUCUAUUUUUAGAUUUCUGUCUUCGCAAAUAUAUUCGAACAGUGUUACAAAUAGCGCAUUACUUUCGUCAAGAGUUCCCACUAAUAUCUCGUGAAUAAGUGAUUUUCCCCGAGAAGCGUCUUCGCGUUUCCCCCUUUCUUAAACUUCCUAUUUUCGAACAAAACAAUUCGAGCUCUGACACGCGAGCUUUAAAAAAAAAGUGGAAAAGUUUUAUCUCUCUGCAAAUUUAUUUAAUUUGAUCAGACAGACGUCAUCGAUAAUAUGACGUUCCGAUAAUUCCGUAUAAUUCCGCAGGUGUCUUUUCCAUUACCGAAUAAUUGACAGUCCAAGGUAUAAUUGAGAAAGAUUGCGCGAUCGAGUAAAUUCCCGUGUCGGUCAUCUCUGUAAUUAGCCCCGGGCGUUAACACUAGACGUCCACAAUUAGCCGAUUGUUAAGUAAUAACUGUGUGUCUAUGGCGUGUCUCGCGCGUCGUGAGAGCGUAGGCCGAUGACUGCGUCUGACGUAAGUACGCAAUCUACGUACGUUCUCUGAAAAAAAAAGAGGGAUGCAAAUAAUGCAGCCUUGUAAAGGACGCGGCGGGACAAACGCAACGUUUGAUCUCGAGCUUUUUUCGCGCUCCUCCCCCCCCCCCCCCCCGAGACCAAUCUGCUUCGGACCCGUCAAUCUUCUUUUUCUUCGUGAACGUUCCGCAUUCUCUUAGGAUAUUUAUUUUUCAUAAGCGUUUUUUUUUACAUCUCACGUUUACAAGAGGUAGACUGACACCUUUAUAAAUAGCGCUUUUAAUAAGACUUUCUUUUUGAACAAAAAAGCGGUUUAGUCCGAUGAUAUUUUAGAUUUUAUUUUAAAUUGUAUUUCAAUUUCUCAAUUUUUAAUUGCACACUGUUGUAAAGAUACAACAGAUUGCUAGUUUGGAUAUCCUUCUAAAUGUCAGUUUUUUUUUCUUCUUUCAUAUCAUUCAUCACAGAUUUUUUUUUAGGAGGAUAAAAAGUGCAGCGGAAUUUUUAGAGAAAAAAAAAUCUAUGAUACUUUUUAGGAACUGAGACUUAUAACAUAAUAAAUUUUGUCACGUGUAUUGUUAAUAUUUAUAUAGUCUGAUAACAUUAUGUAAAUACUAUAUGCAUAAUUUGAUGCGAGAACACUAUUACAUUAUUUUUAUCACGCAACUUGAUUAUCCUAAUACCUUAAUUUAUGUUUGUUUUUACCAAUGUAGAUUGACUUUAAAUUACUUCGUGUCUUUUUCUAAUUUUUAAAAUGAGGAAAAGAUAAAAGGUAAAUUAGAUCAAGAUAAAAAUUAACCUACGUUGGUAGACAUGGACAUCGCUAGAUUAAAUUUCUUGUCGAGAAUUCAUCACGUUAACCGUAUAUUAUAUUGCACUUAUAUUACAUUAUCAUCUCUUUUUCAGCAAUAUUGUAUUUCAUAGGCGUCUCUUUCCGUGCCGUAUUUAUGAAGGAUAGAACGGCACGUUUAUAAAUAGCACUUUUAAUAAGAUGUUCCUUUUUCUUUUGUAAAAAAAAACGGAUCCAGUCUGGACCGACGAUAUUUCAGGCGAUAUCCUUGAUGGAUCAGACUGUUCUCCAUUAUAUACAUAUAUAAAUUAUAUUUGUUACAUAUAUAUAACUUGAAAGAACACAAUUAUAUGACUCUCAUUACGUAACGACUGUCGAAAUGCAAUAAUUGAGUAGCAGAUUAAAUUUUUUGCCGAGACACUUUGUUAUGUUAAUUAUUAUAUCGCAAAUAAUUAUAAAAAAUUGUUUUCUUAAACAGUAUUAUAUUUUAUAUAUAGACGUCUCUUUUCAUAAUCAAUAUAUUUAUAAAAAAUAGAAAAACAUCUUUAUAAAUAGCGCUUUUAAUUUUAUUUUACGGACCUAAUGCUGAAUCAAUGAUAUUUCAGAUCCGCAAUAGACCAGGUUGCGUAAUUGCAAUAAUUCUGAAUUAUAUUCCAUUACAAAGAUAAGUAUAAUUUGGCGCAGGAACGUAGUUGUAUAAUUUUUACUGCGUUAAUGGCUAUCCCAGUGCAUUAAUUCAGUAGCAGGUUGAAUUUUUUUGUCGAGAGAAAUUUUCAUCAUGUUAAUCGUUAUAUCGCAAAUUACUAUCUUUUUAUCAAUGCGUGCACUUUUCGCGCGCGAGGCGUCGAUAAUUUCUUGUUUGCACAAGCAUAAUGGAUGCUAAUGGACUUCUUUUCGCACGCUGGAAUUGCAUAUGUGUGCAUUCUCGGGGCUGGCAACGCGACUCCAAUAAAAAAGAUAUAAUUACAGACUCCAGGCGCCUCGGGCGACCGCAGAGAAACCCGUUCGCAGCACAAAGGCAUGGGGGAACGUCUUGUCGGAGAUGUUCUUUAUUAAGCGAUCCAGUCUCGAAGAUACAGUUUCGAAAUUGAUAAAUUGUCCCUAAUAAUUACUUUCGCGAAAUUAUUAAAGAUGGUUCUUUUUAACCGUUGUUAACACAAAUCAGCCUGUUAAAAAGAGAUUAUACGUGCACUGAGAGAAAAAUGUUAAUUUGACUAAAUUUUUUAACUUGAUUAAAUUUUUUCAGUUCAAGUAUUUAUGCAUUUAACUUAAAUACUUGAACUUCAAUUUAACUUUUUUUUCUCAGUCUACUCUUCAGAAUUGAAUAGUAAUCAGUUAUAAAAAAUUGGAAAUUAUACACAAUAAAAAAUUUACAUAAUAUACAUAAUAUUUUUUAAGAUUAACUUUGAAUUCAGUUUUAACACAACUGAGUUUAUUCUUCGUUCAACUUUUCAAAAUUUUUAACGUAACUAAUUUAAUUUUAUGAGCCAUUAACUUGAACUAAAUUUAAAAGAAAUUAGCUUACUUAGUCCUGCUAUUUCUGAUCGUAUUAUAUUUAUAUUUUUAAUCUUUCUUUUAAAUAUUUAUAUUUUGCGACAUGAAUUGCAUCAUGAAUUUCAUAUUAUCGUAUUGUGAAGAUCGUUUCUGCGGAUAUCGUGUAUACGUAUGAGUCACCGUGUUUAAAACAAAACCGUGUCAGAAUUGUUCCUUGCAUUUCUCAUGUCUACUACAGAUCUAAUUAAUUAUCUGAUAUUAUCGGAAUUAGUAAUAACUGAUAAUCGGUGACACACACGGGCGCUACCGUCAAGGAUUUCUUUUUAUAGAAAUAUCGUGCUAAGCGACGACGUGCAAACGAGUUUAGGGAGGUCUUCGCGGGCAGAGAGGACACAAACGUUCCACUCGCCAAUCGGAUGGACGUGUGGUUGGCGAUUCGCCAAACUGGACACCUUUCGCACAUCUUCAAAAGAUGUUCCGCAAGCCGAAGCUUGACCAAACGAUUUUUUCUCGUUUUCGCGAUGCCCCGUUAUGCCGCACAGCCGGCGCUUCCAUUAGGAACUAAAGAGUACUUGUUAAUUUUAUUUCUUUUUACGCGAACUACUCAUUUACUUUGAUAAUCUAUUAUUUACUUUAUUCUUACUCAUCUAAAAUUAAUAAUUUAUUAAAUCUACGUAGCCCAAUUUGUGUAUCUUGAGCGAUGAAUUUUUAAUGAUUAGCAACAUUUGCUUUUUCUUUGUAUUUGUAAAUACUUCUUUGGUUAAUUACGUUAACUCUGAAAUGUUGCUUGGAUGAAUUUCCACCCAAGUGCUAUUUAAAUUCAAUGCAGUUUUUGUUAUUAAAUUUUUUUGACAGUUUAAAUUAUUAGGAUUUUUACAAAAUCUGUGCUAAUUCAAAUUUACUCUUGAAGUUAAAGUUUUAAUUUAUUCUACCUUGCAGCUUAUAAAAAAUGUAGUAAGAUAUUUGAAUUAUGCAGGUGAAGUUUCACCCAGAUGAAUAGUGUUAAUGUGAGAACAAAGAUAUGAAUAGCACACUCAUUAAAAUUGAUUUAACAGCCAUAUACCGAGACAAAAAAACGAAAUCGUGCAAAUCGUUGCGACAGGUCUAUUUGGGGCCAAGUUACGGUCCUUGAGAUUAUAACGUUGUUUAACGGUGACGAUCAAACGAAGGGACCGGAUGCGUGCAAUAGAGAUUCGCGCGUAUCGCAUUGUGUCAUUAAUAAAAUCGCCGAGUACUGAUUUUGCACGUAUGCCGCCCCGCGAUCCGAGCGGCGUGUGUCGUGCGUGCCUUCUCGCACGUUUCCCCGGUGUCGCUUGAUAAUAGGACACUCGGUUCGCUGCACUUACACGCGAAUGCUCGUACACGCAUAGGUGCGUCCGGCACGUCAAAUUACGGUCGCGUAUCCGGACCUGAUCCCCCUUUCCCCUUCCCGGAUUCUCCCUUUCGCAGAUCCUCUGUCACGUGAGAGCGGAUGGUAUUUUAAAUGGGAGAGAGAGAGAGCUUCCUCCUUCAUCAAGGAGGUAAAAAAAAGGAAAAUAAGAGAAAUAGAAAGAAGCUGAGAAAUGACUAGAAAAGCCAAAAAUCAAAUUAUAUAUAUUUAUUUUAUAUAAAAAAGGACUAUGGGAUUACAAUUAAAACUCGAAAUAGACAAGUGAGAGUACUUCGUGCGCAAUUAUUUGCAUGAGGAAGAUUGCCAGUAUUAACAAUUGCUUGGAAACUAAAUAUUGGAUUAUAUUAAUACUGAUGCAAACUGAUAAAAUGAUCUCCUUAGAUAAUUAGAGAAAUAAAAAGCAGUGCUAUAUAAAAUCUACUAAAAAUCGAAUCUCAUCUAAUACAAACUUGGUGUACACAGUCGUGCUACAUAUUGUGUUUUGCGGAACUGCAUAAGGUAUUUGUAUAAUCCACAAAAAAUGUUACAUUGAAACAAAAGACUUGUAGAAAUCUUCAGAUAUAUUAACUUGUAAAUGUUUGGUACAAAUGACUCGCGUUGAGGGUAAAGAAAAGGAAAAUGUAGCUUUUUAUAUCAAAUUUUUCAAAUGUUUUGAUUAUGCUGCAAAAACAUUAUCAUAGAAUAUGAAACAGUGUUAUCAAAACUGCUGUCAUCUGAUAGAAGACAUCUUUUGGUUUUACAUUAUGUUUUCAGAGCUUUAUUUUGAGCUUUUCUUUCAGAAAUAUUAUUCAAAGAUAAAGUAGUAAAAUUCUCCUAAAUAAAGCGAAGAUCAUUUAUUGCAAUGUAAGAAUUUUGAAAAAGUGCAGCAUUAUGUAUAUUUACAUAAAUAAAAAAAAAUAAAUAUACGUAUGUGCGGCUAAAUCAUUGAGAUUUCCUAUAACUGUAUUGCAGGGAGAGAGAAAGAGAGAAACAGAACGGGAAGAAAUGAAAUAAAAUUGUCUUCCUGAAAGAUUGCAAGAUAUACUGAAUACACACACAUCAUUGCAUAAAUUUGCACAAUCUGCAAACAAAUCUCAAUCACCAAUCACAUCUCUAUAUCGUUAAGAGAUCUGUCUCGAAACGCUCAUUCGUAUUGUUCGCUUAUCAUGCAUGACCGACGCAGAAAUGAAGUCUAAGUGACAAAGGUCUCCGGGACUUGCUGGGGUGAACGUGACCGCAGAAUGCGCUCGGUGGGCAAAAAUUUUCGCCUCGCGUCGCCCCUCUGUUCUCUAUUCGCGUGUCGAAAUUUUAACUCUAUAAACGCGAGGAGAGACGGCCGCAAGAUAUUCACAUGGACAAGCGCGAUUUGUCCGAUGGUCUCUGGCUGACCUCGUGGCAGAUUAAACGCGACGGCUUCAAGGGGAUCGGCGAUCAAUACGAUCACGCGCGUAUUGUCACAGAUGUUUCUUAUCGUAUCAAUCGAGAGAGAAGCUUCGCGCUACGCGCGCUUAUUGCCAGGAUAAGUUGCUCUCGCACUCGGCGCGGGCCCCGCAGCGAAGAGAAGCCUACCCCUCGUGAUUUUACUGGCGAACAACGAAAUUAGUUCAAGGAUGAAGCGCGCCUGCAUUCGCGACGAUUUCUCUUAUCUGGUUUAAUGGAAAAGAAGUAAUUUGCCUUCGCGCGUUUAUUGCCGCGCGCAAUAUUGACGCUAUUGCGCAAAUCACACGCCGGCGAUGAUUAUACAAAUUUUAUUUAUUACUUUAUGCUACGGACACGUAGCAUUAUCGAGGCUCCCUACGAGGGCCACCCGAUAUUUUGCAAAUGCUCCCCGUUGAUCUCCGUUGAAAUAAAAGUAAAAACUUUUGUGCCGCCGCGCAGAAAAAAAACUGACCCAAAA